AUAAUGUUUGGAAAUAUUUGAUUUAUUUUAUGAUUUAUAAUGAUAAAAUUUAAUUUUAGUUUAAAAUUUAUUUAAUUUUUAAUUUAUAUGUAAAUUUUUGUCUUAAAAAGUUAAUAUUUAAAAUAAUAAUUUUACAGUAAUUAAAUUUAAAAAUUAAUGAAAAUUAGAUUUAGUAAUUAAUUAUAAAAUAAAAUAAAUUUGUGCCAGCAUUUGCGGUUAUACAAAUUAUUUAAAUAAAUUUUAUUAAUAUAUAAUUUAAUUGUUUAUUUUAUUAAAUGAAAAAUUUAUGAUAAAAGUGAAAUUUAUUAUUUUUAUUAAUUUAAUUAAAUAGUAAUUGAUUUUUGAAAUUUAAUUAAUAAACUAGGAUUAGAUACCCUAUUAUUUUAAAUGUAAAAUUUAUAUUAAGGGAUUAAUAGUUAUGUUCUUUAAAUUUAAAAAAUUUGGCGGUAUUUUAGUCUAUUUAGAGGAAUCUGUUCUGUAAUUGAUAGUUCACGAUAAAUUUUACUUAAUUUAUUAAUUAAUAUAUCGUUGUUAACAAAAUAUUUUUUAAGAAUAUAAAUUUUUUAUAAAUUUAAUUAAAUUUUAUUUCAGAUCAAGAUGUUGUUUAUAAUUAUGAAGAAAUGGAUUACAAUAAGAAUACUUAUUAUAUGAAUAAUUUAUAUAAAAAUAAAUUUGAAGGUGGAUUUAAUAGUAAUUUUUAAUAUAUUUUAAAAAUGAUUUUAGCACUAAAAUAUGCACAUAUCGCCCGUCGCUCUUAUUUAUUAAAUAAGAUAAGUCGUAACAAAGUAGAUGUACUGGAAAGUGUAUCUAGAAUGCAAAUUAAAGCUUUUAUAGUUUUUCAUUUACAUUGAAAAGAAUCUUUUAAUUUAGAUAAUUUGAAAUAAAAAUUUUAUUUUUAAUUAAAUUUAAAAUUUAUUUUUUAAUUAAAAUAUUAUUAAUUUAUUUUUAUUUAAGUAUAUUUAAGAAAAAAUUUUAUAUAAUGAUAGUUUAUUAGUAA
rnacentral:ncRNA from 1 species